rnacentral:rRNA from 1 species
AUUGAACGCUGGCGGCAGGCCUAACACAUGCAAGUCGAGCGGUAGCACAGAGAGCUUGCUCUCGGGUGACGAGCGGCGGACGGGUGAGCAAUGUCUGGGAAACUGCCCGAUGGAGGGGGAUAACUACUGGAAACGGUAGCUAAUACCGCAUAACGUCGCAAGACCAAAGAGGGGGACCUUCGGGCCUCUUGCCAUCGGAUGUGCCCAGAUGGGAUUAGCUAGUAGGUGGGGUAACGGCUCACCUAGGCGACGAUCCCUAGCUGGUCUGAGAGGAGGGCCAGCCACACUGGAACUGAGACACGGUCCAGACUCCUACGGGAGGCAGCAGUGGGGAAUAUUGCACAAUGGGCGCAAGCCUGAUGCAGCCAUGCCGCGUGUAUGAAGAAGGCCUUCGGGUUGUAAAGUACUUUCAGCGGGGAGGAAGGCGAUAAGGUUAAUAACCUUGUCGAUUGACGUUACCCGCAGAAGAAGCACCGGCUAACUCCGUGCCAGCCGCCGCGGUAA